rnacentral:sRNA from 1 species
CCUGACUCCAGCACCCACCUGACUUGUCCAGCUCCUCUGGAACUCUGCACAACGUUCUGAAGAUGGCUGCCAGGAGUGCUGCGGAACCAGGCCUGUUCCAGUACGUUCAUUCAAGUUUCCAGUUAACAUGAGAAGCCACUGGGGGAUCCUGGCCUGUCAUCGGGUGUAUCUCCUCAAUGUCCUGGAACAUGGCUGAAAUGGGAGGUGGUAAGUUAAAAGAAACUAACUAUAUAGUGAUGUUUGGGGUUGGGGGAAUCAGGUAGCUGCUGAAUUAGCAUCAGGCUAGGAGUUGCUGAUGGGGAACUCUGGGCGUAUUUCUCCUAGCUCUGGUCUUGUAUUCACAUCCUGGCAGCUCUGGGUGUCUUUACUAACCCCUCUUCCCUCCCUGGUUUUAUUUGUCCUGGUCAUAUUUGUACCCCUUGUCAACUGCUUUCCUAACACAGGGCCUUCACUCCAGCUAUUCUCAGCCUCCCAGAGUUCUCCGUGAGUGAUGCUUCCAGAUUCUCCCCCAGCGGCCUGCAGAGAUCCCUCCAGGUGCCCAGUCUGAAGCUAGUCUCCUUCUCGACCACCUCAAUGUCCCUUUGGCUUUGGGGUCCCUCUUUGGUUCUGCAUGGGGUAGCAGAGGCUGGCGGUAUAGCCUCAGCUGCUAGGUAAACAGCCUUGAGUGUUCAGACUUGGGCGUGUCACUGGGAUUCAUGGCGGAGGAGGAAGUCAGUUCCUUGUGCGGUCCAGGAGGCCAUUCAUCCCCCAGGGCACCUGUUUCUUGGGGCUCUGUAUGUCUGUCUACCGGGGAAUCUGAGUUCUCAGGUCCUCCCUUGGGCUGCUUCUCUUAUUUCCGUUUUUUCCCCCCAAGGAAAUCAAAUCUUGUAGAGAUGGAGUCCCAGUUUAGCAUAAACUCCCGCUCCAGCGGGAACCCAGUCUGCCCUGGCCCAACGCAGAUGGCGGCGCCCAUAGCCAAGGUACCUGGGCUCACUGCCACCCAGGAGGCAGAAUCAGUCUUUGCUCCGCUGAGGAUGCUGUGGCCAUGACACUGGCUGGGCCUCCUGCCUUCGGUUUCUGCCGCCACUUGCCCCCAACGACCGCCAUGGGCGCACAGUUAAUUAGCAGGUCCUGGAAAGCUCAUCAAUAAUAGAACCGGUGGCCGCGGCUGAUGGCUGGCACACGGUGGACAGUGAGGCCCCGGUGGCAGCGGCUGAUGGCCGGCACACGGUGGACAGCAAGGCCCCGUAAAUCAGUUUGACGGGCACUGACCAAGAAAGAGCUUCCCACAGUCCUCAGGCUGGGAAGCGCUGAGGCAGGCUGAUGGUGCCUGUUCCACCUCUGCCCCUCACUGCUCCAGCCACACCGGUCCUCCGAUAUCUCUUCCUCCUGCCAUCUGGCUCUUGUCUUUUUCCUUCAUCUCAGGUCCCAGAAAAGCAUAGCCCUUCCCCAGUCGCCACCCCACACUCUGGGAUCUUAUAGAAGGGGUUUGCUGGCCGGUUUUUGAAAUAAACUAGAGACAACUGAGAGAAGGGAAAUCUCAGUUGAAAAAAAAAUGCCUC